rnacentral:rRNA from 1 species
GACGAACGCUGGCGGCGUGCCUAACGCAUGCAAGUCGAGCGAUUCACUUCGGUGAAGAGCGGCGGACGGGUGAGUAACGCGUGGGUAACCUGCCUCAUACACAUGGAUAACAUACCGAAAGGUAUGCUAAUACAAGAUGAUAUAAGAGAUUCGCAUGGAUUUCUUAUCAAAGCUCCGGCGGUAUGAGAUGGACCCGCGUCUGAUUAGCUAGUUGGUAAGGUAACGGCUUACCAAGGCGACGAUCAGUAGCCGACCUGAGAGGGUGAUCGGCCACAUGGGAACUGAGACACGGUCCAAACUCCCACGGGAGGCAGCAGUGGGGAAUAUUGCACAAUGGGCGAAAGCCUGAUGCAGCAACGCCGCGUGAGCGAUGAAGGCCUUCGGGUCGUAAGGCUCUGUCCUCAAGGAAGAUAAUGACGGUACUUGAGGAGGAAGCCCCGGCUAACUACGUGCCAGCCGCCGCGGUAA